rnacentral:rRNA from 1 species
GUUAAGCGACUAAGCGUACACGGUGGAUGCCCUGGCAGUCAGAGGCGAUGAAGGACGUGCUAAUCUGCGAUAAGCGUCGGUGAGGUGAUAUGAACCGUUAUAACCGGCGAUUUCCGAAUGGGGAAACCCAGUGUGUUUCGACACACUAUCAUUAACUGAAUCCAUAGGUUAAUGAGGCGAACCGGGGGAACUGAAACAUCUAAGUACCCCGAGGAAAAGAAAUCAACCGAGAUUCCCCCAGUAGCGGCGAGCGAACGGGGAGGAGCCCAGAGCCUGAAUCAGUGUGUGUGUUAGUGGAAGCGUCUGGAAAGGCGCGCGAUACAGGGUGACAGCCCCGUACACAAAAAUGCACAUAUUGUGAGCUCGAUGAGUAGGGCGGGACACGUGGUAUCCUGUCUGAAUAUGGGGGGACCAUCCUCCAAGGCUAAAUACUCCUGACUGACCGAUAGUGAACCAGUACCGUGAGGGAAAGGCGAAAAGAACCCCGGCGAGGGGAGUGAAAAAGAACCUGAAACCGUGUACGUACAAGCAGUGGGAGCCUCUUAAUGGGGUGACUGCGUACCUUUUGUAUAAUGGGUCAGCGACUUAUAUUCUGUAGCAAGGUUAACCGAAUAGGGGAGCCGAAGGGAAACCGAGUCUUAACUGGGCGUUAAGUUGCAGGGUAUAGACCCGAAACCCGGUGAUCUAGCCAUGGGCAGGUUGAAGGUUGGGUAACACUAACUGGAGGACCGAACCGACUAAUGUUGAAAAAUUAGCGGAUGACUUGUGGCUGGGGGUGAAAGGCCAAUCAAACCGGGAGAUAGCUGGUUCUCCCCGAAAGCUAUUUAGGUAGCGCCUCGUGAAUUCAUCUCCGGGGGUAGAGCACUGUUUCGGCAAGGGGGUCAUCCCGACUUACCAACCCGAUGCAAACUGCGAAUACCGGAGAAUGUUAUCACGGGAGACACACGGCGGGUGCUAACGUCCGUCGUGAAGAGGGAAACAACCCAGACCGCCAGCUAAGGUCCCAAAGUCAUGGUUAAGUGGGAAACGAUGUGGGAAGGCCCAGACAGCCAGGAUGUUGGCUUAGAAGCAGCCAUCAUUUAAAGAAAGCGUAAUAGCUCACUGGUCGAGUCGGCCUGCGCGGAAGAUGUAACGGGGCUAAACCAUGCACCGAAGCUGCGGCAGCGACGCUUAUGCGUUGUUGGGUAGGGGAGCGUUCUGUAAGCCUGCGAAGGUGUGCUGUGAGGCAUGCUGGAGGUAUCAGAAGUGCGAAUGCUGACAUAAGUAACGAUAAAGCGGGUGAAAAGCCCGCUCGCCGGAAGACCAAGGGUUCCUGUCCAACGUUAAUCGGGGCAGGGUGAGUCGACCCCUAAGGCGAGGCCGAAAGGCGUAGUCGAUGGGAAACAGGUUAAUAUUCCUGUACUUGGUGUUACUGCGAAGGGGGGACGGAGAAGGCUAUGUUGGCCGGGCGACGGUUGUCCCGGUUUAAGCGUGUAGGCUGGUUUUCCAGGCAAAUCCGGAAAAUCAAGGCUGAGGCGUGAUGACGAGGCACUACGGUGCUGAAGCAACAAAUGCCCUGCUUCCAGGAAAAGCCUCUAAGCAUCAGGUAACAUCAAAUCGUACCCCAAACCGACACAGGUGGUCAGGUAGAGAAUACCAAGGCGCUUGAGAGAACUCGGGUGAAGGAACUAGGCAAAAUGGUGCCGUAACUUCGGGAGAAGGCACGCUGAUAUGUAGGUGAAGCGACUUGCUCGUGGAGCUGAAAUCAGUCGAAGAUACCAGCUGGCUGCAACUGUUUAUUAAAAACACAGCACUGUGCAAACACGAAAGUGGACGUAUACGGUGUGACGCCUGCCCGGUGCCGGAAGGUUAAUUGAUGGGGUUAGCGGUAACGCGAAGCUCUUGAUCGAAGCCCCGGUAAACGGCGGCCGUAACUAUAACGGUCCUAAGGUAGCGAAAUUCCUUGUCGGGUAAGUUCCGACCUGCACGAAUGGCGUAAUGAUGGCCAGGCUGUCUCCACCCGAGACUCAGUGAAAUUGAACUCGCUGUGAAGAUGCAGUGUACCCGCGGCAAGACGGAAAGACCCCGUGAACCUUUACUAUAGCUUGACACUGAACAUUGAGCCUUGAUGUGUAGGAUAGGUGGGAGGCUUUGAAGUGUGGACGCCAGUCUGCAUGGAGCCGACCUUGAAAUACCACCCUUUAAUGUUUGAUGUUCUAACGUUGGCCCGUAAUCCGGGUUGCGGACAGUGUCUGGUGGGUAGUUUGACUGGGGCGGUCUCCUCCUAAAGAGUAACGGAGGAGCACGAAGGUUGGCUAAUCCUGGUCGGACAUCAGGAGGUUAGUGCAAUGGCAUAAGCCAGCUUGACUGCGAGCGUGACGGCGCGAGCAGGUGCGAAAGCAGGUCAUAGUGAUCCGGUGGUUCUGAAUGGAAGGGCCAUCGCUCAACGGAUAAAAGGUACUCCGGGGAUAACAGGCUGAUACCGCCCAAGAGUUCAUAUCGACGGCGGUGUUUGGCACCUCGAUGUCGGCUCAUCACAUCCUGGGGCUGAAGUAGGUCCCAAGGGUAUGGCUGUUCGCCAUUUAAAGUGGUACGCGAGCUGGGUUUAGAACGUCGUGAGACAGUUCGGUCCCUAUCUGCCGUGGGCGCUGGAGAACUGAGGGGGGCUGCUCCUAGUACGAGAGGACCGGAGUGGACGCAUCACUGGUGUUCGGGUUGUCAUGCCAAUGGCACUGCCCGGUAGCUAAAUGCGGAAGAGAUAAGUGCUGAAAGCAUCUAAGCACGAAACUUGCCCCGAGAUGAGUUCUCCCUGAGACUUUAAGUCUCCUGAAGGAACGUUGAAGACGACGACGUUGAUAGGCCGGGUGUGUAAGCGCAGCGAUGCGUUGAGCUAACCGGUACUAAUGAACCGUGAGG